UGCACCCCCACACUGCUCUCCUCCUCUGCUGUCCCCCGGGUGCCCCGAGUGCCUGGCCUGCACUGCACAGUCCCCACCCUCAUGAGAGGGCCAGGAUGGUUAGGCACGUUACUGAUGUGAGCAGUCAGAGAGAGCAGAGACCAGCGAAAGCAGAGCGGAGCUGAGGGUGGAGGCCAGAGCUCAAAGGCCAGAUCUCCCACUGUUAGAAGUCAGCACUGAAGCUGAGGAAAGUCUGGUGACUGGUAUCUGCUGAAGAGCCUAUUCAGUCUUUUCUUUGUGCGGCCUCUGCAUCACAAUUUCACAUGGCUAAGAGUCUUUAUGGGGACCACAGGUUCAUUUUUCUUCUAUCCAAAUUGCUGAGACAAUGUUCUCAAUAGUAUGUGGUAUCUAACUCUUACCAAUAAAUAAUUUCCAGGUAGAGACUGGGCAUCCCUGUUUUACUAACAUCAGCAACAACCAUGCAAGCCCUUCAGAGCUUGUUAAAAAAUGUUACUCUGCGUUAUGCAACAGAGUUUAAUUCAGAAGGACAGUAAUUUGACAACCAGACUGACUUUAGACAGGGACCCAGGUGUCUUUAUGACUGAUCUGUUGUUAAAACCCACAGAUGAGAGUAUUUUAGAUUAACAAAAUUGUUAAUUGCCUUGGUUACAUUAAAACAUCUGUGCAAGAGUGACAAAAUGCUGGGAAGGCCUAGAAGAUAGGUGGGUGCCCCUCUGCCCCAGUAACCAAGAGAAGUCAGGUUCCUGACCGCCUUGUACCUCAGACAAUAUCACUACAUUGGUGUGAAACCUUGAAGGAGAUAACAGAAAUCAGUUUUAAUUGUGCUUAAACCAAUAUAUCUUUUGCUAGACUGAUCUUAAAUCAGCUUAUUAACACUAACACAAGGUUUCCAGUACUCAUACACAUACUUCUUUUAUCUACUGUGGUUGAAAUUCAUUCUGAAUUAGGACCAGAACAAAGAACUAUCCACUGUUUACGUCUCACUAAAGGCCUAAAGUGAAGGGUUGGGAGAAUGUAAGAAUGGCAAAGGCUUUGUAGUAACCCUGUCUAGAAAUGGAUUUUAUCUUCAAAGCUAUAGCUGUUCUUUGCUGUUAAAUCCUUGUUUCAUUCUCUGUUG